UAGACAACUUUGAGAAAUUAGAAUUAAUGUUAAAGGAAAGAGGAAAAUAUUUUCUGUCAUCAUAUAUAGGAUAAUAGAAAAUUAAUACAUGAGUUUUCUGCCUGAAACUAUGGUGAAUUUCACAGGUAUUUUUAUUUUUUUACUCAAGUUUGUCUAUAUUUCCAGUCAUUUUUAUAAACUGCAAAGAUAUGGUAGUAUUGCUGAUUAGUCUUAAAGAUAAGAGGCUGUAAAUUUAAAAUCAUGGAGGGAAGUUAACCUGGGAAAGGAGGAUCAGUGCUUCUUUGAGGUAUUUGGAAAGUCAUUAAGGAUGGGUAAAGAGGUGAAGUAGAAAGUAGCAACAACAUUGUGGAGAGGACUUGAGAAAGUCUCUACUGAUGCUUUUCCUAGUAAAUAGAAAAGGGACCAUUAGUUUAAAACAGUGAUUUUCAAUCAGUGUGCUAUAAAAAGUUUUAAUACGUCUAAUACCUGACUAUUACUCAGGGGCACAGAUCUCUUUUCCCUUAGAUUAUUAAAUAACAAAAUGACAACAGCCAACACAACAAUAACAACAAUAGCCAUCAGGUGUGAAUGAAUCAAAAUUAUAUAUAUAUAUUUUUGUCAGAUUAGCAAGAUAUAUAGUUGAUAUUUGGGUGUGCUGCAAAAUUUUAGUAAUAGUUUACGUGUACCAUGAGAUGAAAAGGGUUGAAAACUGCUGGUUUAGGGUGACAGGCAUGUAAGGUGUUGAGGAAUGUGGAAAACUGAAUAAUGGUCCUUUUCCCCUGUCCUUCCAAUAUGUCCAUGACUAAUCACUGGAACCUAAAGAUUGUUACUUUAAAAGGCAAAGGGGACUUUCUCAGAUGUGAUUGAGUUAAGGAUCUUGAGGUGAGGAGAUUAUCCUAGGUUGUCCUGCUGGGCCCAAAGUGAUUACAGAGUGGGUGGCAGGAGGGUCAGAGACAAAAGAGAAGGCAGUAUACUGACAGAGGCAGAGAUGGGAUUGAUAAGCUCUCGAGAUGGAGGAGGGCCACAGCCAAGGAAUGCAUCAUGUGGCCACUAGAAGCUGAAAAAGGCAAGAAAGUGGAUUCCCCCCUCAGAGCCUAAAAAAGGAACAGAUCCUACAGACACCUUGACUGUAGUCCAGUGAAACUGAUUUUAGUCUAGAAAUACCUAUA